rnacentral:rRNA from 1 species
AUUGAACGCUGGCGGCAGGCUUAACACAUGCAAGUCGAGCGGGGUGAUGGUGCUUGCACUAUCACUUAGCGGCGGACGGGUGAGUAAUGCUUAGGAAUCUGCCUAUUAGUGGGGGACAACAUCUCGAAAGGGAUGCUAAUACCGCAUACGUCCUACGGGAGAAAGCAGGGGAUCACUUGUGACCUUGCGCUAAUAGAUGAGCCUAAGUCGGAUUAGCUAGUUGGUGGGGUAAGGGUCUACCAAGGCGAUGAUCUGUAGCGGGUCUGAGAGGGUGAUCCGCCACACUGGGACUGAGACACGGCCCAGACUCCUACGGGAGGCAGCAGUGGGGAAUAUUGGACAAUGGGGGGAACCCUGAUCCAGCCAUGCCGCGUGUGUGAAGAAGGCUUUAUGGUUGUAAAGCACUUUAGGCGAGGAGGAGGCUCUUUUGGUUAAUACCCAAGAUGAGUGGACGUUACUCGCAGAAUAAGCACCGGCUAACUCUGUGCCAGCCGCCGCGGUAA